AAACUGGUUUUCCUUUGACCAUAUCUUUGUUCUGAAUAUUGUAAUGUACUUGCUACAUAAUUCCUCAUUUAACGACUUAGUCUCAGGAUUGAAACUCAGAUAUUAAAUGAGGAAGCCUGUGUGUAUAUAGUACGGGGCCAGGGACCAUCCACCAGUUUUCGGCAUACAUCAAAAUGAUUCCUAAUUACUUAUUGUCACAUUUUUAUUACCUGUGAAAGUAAAACAAUGCCUGCUAACCUAUAGAUAAUGGGAGAAUAAGAAGAGGCUGACACAUAGUAGCUGGUCAGUAAACGCUAUCAUCAUCAUCAACGGCCUGUUUUCCAUAGGCCUGUGGACUGUUUUUAGUAAAGUUUUAUUGAGCACAGCUCAUUAAUUUCAUUAUAUAGUAAGUCCCUGAUUUACAAACGAGUUCUGUUACAGGAGACUGUAAGUCAAACACAUUUGUAACUCGGACAAAGUGGGUCUUAUAUCCCUUUGACACAAGUAUACAACAUUAAACAUAAAAGAUCAUACACACACACAUAUGGCGAGUCCCCACCAUUGCCCUGCACUGUAAGCACAUAGCAGCACAAUUGUGGUGACACCCAGAAGACCUCUGAGCUACUCCUGUGAUUCUUCUCUUCUGUGCAUGACCCUAAUACAAGGUCUUUUUGGACCACCAAGAGUUCAAAACUCAAAUGUCCACAAGUUGGGGGACUUCCUGUAGCUACAUUCAUGUUACAACAGGGAAUUGAGUGGAUCCAAGAGAUUAUAAGGCUUGAAAAGCCUAAAAUACAGAAUUUGUGUUUUUUUACAGAGAAAAUUCAUGAGUCCUCCUUUGGAAUACUAGGCUACCAUCAACCUGACUAAGCCUAUGGUCCAGUAUUGUGUGGCCCAUGAACCAGUUUGAUCCACAGACCACUUAAGAUCCACAAAAGAUAAGAACAGAAAAUAAGAGUCAGUGUUUGGAAAUUCCACGGGAAUUUACUACUGAAAAUAAGGGGCUCAAAUAUGGUUCACAUAGAAGUAUUGGUUGAUGAGAGAUUGGGGAGAAAAUAAGACCUCCCCUUUCUCACUGGCAUGAGAUCUGGUAUCUGGAAUGGGGUUUUUCUGUGUCAGUAAAUUAGUAAGACAUGUUUGUGUUUCAGAAGGUAACAUCUGGGAGCCCAUCAGGGAGGGAUAAGCAUAUUCUGAGGUUGCAAGUAACUCGGGAAGGUUGAUGAGCAAGCACAUUAAUAACGUCACAAAAAUGGGUUCUCCAUGCAGAUGAAUGGGGCAGCCACCGUCCACUGAUCAGCUAAUACAGCUGUGCCGUGCGCCUCGUCUCUGAGAGCAGGCAGCCACCGCACUACCCGGUGGUUGUUGCAUGCAUGGAUAUAAAUUCAUUGCCUUUGAAGGAGAUGUGUUUUAAGUCGGAAAAUCAUCUUCUCUGAAUAAAUCGGUUCCAAACAGUCAAGCCUGCCAGAAAAAACAGACAAACUCUCAAGAACAACAAUGCCUAUUAUGUGUGUGGUAGGCGCUGCCAGACUUUGAUUACUGGCCAGACAUUAACCCCUUUGAUGUCCCAUGGAAGAGAUGCCAAGUCUGAAUCCAGAUAUUUCCAGAAUUCUGUAGACACUUGUGAUUUAUAGAGACCUGCAAAACAGGACUACUGAGAAGAGGAAGUGCAAAUCAAGGGCCCUGUCUCCUUGUUUGCUGAAUUCUGCCACGUCUCAUGCUGGCCAGCAGACACGGCUCCAUCUCCUUUGCUUGUGCCUUUGUGGUGUCCUGACCGUGGUGAGAGGCACGGUGCUUGUAUCCCUCCAGGGUUGGUGACCCUCCAGAGAGUGCCAAAUGGUGUCUCAGGGGAAAGCCUGUAGGUACCUUGAUGUUACCACUUAGAGGAAAGCUUCUGGAGAGAAGACUGUGGUCAGCUUCAUCCCCUCUCACAUAGCCCCGGAGUUCAACACACAGGAUCCCAUUCUAAGGUUUGUGUCCCCUGAAGGGCGUGGCUACCUGGUUCUUCACCUAGAGACGGGCACAGGUAAGGAAAGUGGCAUCCCCGUGCCAUUCUGUUCGAGGGAGCGCUCUGUCUCAAGACUGAGAGCUGAAAUCACCACAUAUUCAGUCCAGAGAGCGUUUUCUUUUUCUCCCAGCCAGGAGAGCAGUGUGGCUCAGAGGAAACAAGAGCGAUGUGACGGCCAGUGUGCCCCUGAGCUUUUGUCUGUUCUGUAAAGCAACACAUACUGAUGUGCCCUCUAUGGAUGACAAAGCAGCCUAUCACAAUUCUUCAAGACAUUAAAGCCUACCUUUGAAACUUUGAGGGUUAACAUUUCAGAGUGCAGUGAUUAUUGAACUCUUAAGUGUUGUACUUUUUGGUUUUGUGCAUAAUUUAAAACAAGUGAACUUACCUACGUUUCUCUGAAAAGUCUUCCCAGCCUCCCAAUCUUUUCAUAAAAUGUCUCUUGUCUGGGUUUUUAAGCCUAUCCUGUGGUUGAAUAUGAUUAUGGGAUAUUUAUAUGCAGCCUUGUCUAUUGUAUCAAAAGAUCAGGAAAAAAAUGCCCAUCAUUAAAGCCCCAAAGUGAUUGGGUUGGCAUGAGGAGAGAGGGGACGGGCUGGCAAGGGAGAGAGGAUCCAACUCUAGGAUAUCAUGAAAUCAAAACAAUAGGACAGCUGCUCUCCCAUAAACAGAUUAUUAUUAUUAUUUCUACCUAGACAGCUUGAUAGCAGCUAUUAUCUCCUUUCUGGGUGUCUUAUCAAGUUCUGCCUGUGUGCAGCAUGGGAGAUAAGGAAUGAGAAAUGUCACCCGUGGGAUUGCCAAGGAUUAUUUCUAUGCACUGCUGUUCCGCAAGAGCCAGUCCCUCAGAUCUGAAAAGGGAUCCUAUUGUUCAUGCUGGGCAGUGGCUCUUCUCACUACAACCAAGAGAACAGAAAGAGGAUGUCGUCAGUAUUGCGGGCAAGAUUGAAAUUGCAUUACUCUCAGCUAAAGUGCAAGCAGUCGAUUUUCAAAAGAGAAAUCAUGGAACAUCUUUGAAGAGGGAGAAGACGAGAAGAAUUAAAGAAGUUCAAAACUUUUCAGAACAAUGAGGGCAUUUAAAAAACAAAGGACUUAAUAUUUGCAAACACUGGGACUUAAAAUGUCAAGCAUAAAAAUCUCAGAGGCUUGAGUAGUGUCAUGUAACUUGUGAUCCAGUUGCUUCAUGUAAACAUGUCAUCCUGCCUUACCCCUCAGGAAAUAGUUAAUUUACUCGAAUUCUGUUUCACUGUCUCUGGUUCACAUUAAGCUCCUGAAUCAAAUUAAUCAGUUGCUAUUGAAAUUCUUUUCUACUCAAUUAAAAAAUAAAUAUUUUAUUAUAAAUACGAUGGUUCUAAAUAUUUCAGAAAAAUAUGAUCUCUUUGUAUUUUUAAUUUAGCAUCUCAGCUUUCCAACCUUUUGUCUGCUUAGAGAAAAGACUGCUCUAGGAAAUAAUGCAGAUGAAAUGUGUGAUUAACCCACACUAUGUUCAUAUGGAAUUCCCGACAAAGUGUUCUGAGUGCUUCAGACUUUUUUUUUAACGCAGUUUUAGGGUCAUGCUGAUAUUUUAAUGUGAGCUUCUUGGAAGAGAGCCAAUUCAAAGUUUCUUCUAACAUUUUAAAUCACCAUUCUGAAACUGGUAUCUCAAAUGAAUAAAGUACUUUGCUCUUAAGCCACAGCUUCAGAAAUGAGAUCCUAGUUGUGGAAGGUGAUUGAGACAGCCAAGGGCAAAGAGAGGAUACAGAGAAGCAAGGAGGACAGUGUCAAAAGAAAGGGAUUUGAUUUCCUUGUGUGACUUCAGGAAGGCAAGACCCUGGUCCUUGUGUUUCUACAGCACCUCAUGUAAAGUGCUCAGGAGAUGUUUGUUAAAUGAAUUAGUGAGACCUAUACAGGAAAAUUGUUUUAAUGCAAAACAUUCCAGGGAACAUCAUCUCAACUAAACAAGUUGUCUUAGUUUUUCAGCUAUUAAGCAUUUAGUAGGCAGCCUAAAUCAUUUCCAACUUUACCACAAAUAUGAAUUAUGUGGGGCACUUGCUAAAAAUAUUGACUUUGAUUCAAUAAUAUUGGGAUAGAGUUCUAGGUUUUGUUUUUUCUAUCAAGCUCUUAGGAUACCCAAGGAAUAUAUGGCUUAUAUUCUGAGGAGCAAUGUGCUAGAACCAUGCACGGAGGCUGGGCUAGGACUUGUGAGCUCUGAGUUCUUGUCCGUGACUUUAACUGUCUGUGAUUUUAAGCCAGAUAACUACCUUUCUAGCUGCAGUCUCCCAUCUACAUAACAUGUGGGCCUGAUCUCUAUAAUUUCUGAGGUUCUUGCAGGCUUAAAAUUUUAAAAUUAAAGUAAGAGAAAACUUAGAGAAUGCCCAGUCUAACUUUAUCAUUCCAAACCUAUGGAGCCUGAAUCACUCCUUCUUGUAUUUCCACAGGUUUGGCAUUUGAAUUAUGUUUUAGUUGAUUUCUUAAUUUCUGGCAGAGUCAUUUUUCUCUAUCACUUCUUUUAACAUUAUUAGUUUUUUAAAAAAUAAAAUGCCUUACAA